UGGUCCCGCCCCUUAAUUAGCUGAACCAUAUAUAAAGCACCUGUGGCAGCAUGGCUUCCUUUUCGUCUUGUGUGCUUGCUGGUUGCCACAUGUUCCUUGUGCUGAGGAGCCCUCUGCCUGCUUGUCUGCCUCUCUGCCUCGUGUGAGCUGGUGUCUGCUUUGCUAAGAUACUUCCAGUCUAAAUAAUCAAACUUGCAUUGUAUUUUGGAACCAUGUCUUUGUCUUAAUAAAGGUGUUGAACCUGU